rnacentral:lncRNA from 14 species
AUGCCCAGCUGGAUGAACGGAAAGGCCGGGAGUGGGGAGUCAGGGGGUGCCCCCAGAGCUCAGAGGCGACCGACGGCGGCGGUUCCAGGGCCGAACAAGAAGGGACCCUCUUGCCCGCGUCCCGCCCGCGCGCCCGCCGGGACCACCGCCGCCGCCGCCCGGCUCCGAGGGACCCGCCGGACCUGCCCCUUCCGCUGCGGCUCACUCUGCCUUGCCGGGCGCCGCUUCUGGAUCGCCGGCUUCAUUCCUACCAGGCUGGGCUCCUCUCCACUCACUUUCCCAUCCUGUUCCAGGCUGGCGACUUCGCUGCUGAGC